rnacentral:hammerhead_ribozyme from 1 species
ACCCAGCUGACGAGUCCCAAAUAGGAUGACAUGUGCAUCCUGGAU